UACGGAGGAUCCGAGCGUUAUCCGGAUUUAUUGGGUUUAAAGGGAGCGUAGGCGGGUUGUUAAGUCAGUUGUGAAAGUUUGCGGCUCAACCGUAAAAUUGCAGUUGAUACUGGCAUCCUUGAGUGUGUUUGAGGUAGGCGGAAUGCGUGGUGUAGCGGUGAAAUGCAUAGAUAUCACGCAGAACUCCGAUUGCGAAGGCAGCUUACUAAGCCAUAACUGACACUGAAGCACGAAAGCGUGGGGAUCAAACAGG
rnacentral:rRNA from 1 species